AAAAGCAGCGAUUACCACCAACCACGAGAAACACAGGAGCCUGCCUUCCACUGUUUACCACUGGGCAGGAAGUCGUUUAUGGACCAGUCUCUUGCCCAGGCUAAACUCAGAAGUGGACACUGAGGGCCGGUUGUGGGUGCCACCAGGCAAGCUAGGGCAUCGGAGUUCAGCAGAGCUGGGUGGGAAUUCUGCUUCUCCCUCCACUACCUGGGUAACCCUGGGCAAGUCACUUAGCCUCUCCGAGCAUAAACUGGUUUGCUUGUAAUAUGCAAAUAAUAAGGGGUGGGGGAAAUUUUUUUUUUUUUUUUUGAGACAGAGUCUCGCUCUGUCACCCAGGCUGGAGUGCAGUGGCGUGAUCUCGGCUCAUUGCAACCUCCGCCUCCUGGGUUCAAGCAAUUCUCCUGCCUCAGCCUCCUGAGUAGCUGGGAUUACAGGCGCCCGCCACCACUCCCAGCUAAUUUUUGUAUUUUUAGUAGGGACGAGGUUUCACCAUGUUGGUCAGGCUGGUCUCAAACUCCUGACCUCGUGAUCUGCCCUCCUUGGCCUUCCAAAGUGCUGGGAUUACAGGCGUGAUGGAGAUGAUACUCCCUAAAUCACAAGGGUGUGGUGUGAAGAUGAAAUGGCUGCACGUGACAGAGGAGUUGGAGAACAGGAAGCAAGUGGAUUACUUGGAUGAACUGUGAUGGGCCCAAGAAGAACUAAGCCAAUCACUCCAGGGGGCGUUUUCCCAGGAUCCAGGCAGAGAGCUGAUUCCAGCAUCCACGUUGUAUCCCCCUCCCGCUGUGGCCGGGGUCUCCAAGAGCCGGGCACCCACUGCAGAGCUUCCAAGCCCAGGCCCAUUUGAACACAGGAGGACUUUUGAGGUUCAUUUAACCCCAAAAUCAGUGAUUCUACAUCUCAAGCUCAUAUUUUGAAGUGUUUACGGUCUCGAGCUCCAGUUCCCUGCCAGGAAGAGCUGAAGCUGAGCUCUGGCACCCCCUGCUUCUUCUCCCUCAUCCCUAAAACAUGUGGGGUACUGGGUGCCAAAGGAGAUCUGAAGAUGGCCACCACUCAGACCAGCAGUAGAGGCCAAGAAGGUGGUGAGAAAUUUUAAGAUUGAUCCCAGACACUGCCACCCCCAGCCCUGUGAACACCAAAACCCAUGGAUGCUCAAGUCCUUGAUAUAAAAUGGUAUGGUAUUUGCACAUAACCUACACACAUCUUCCCAUAUACUUUAAAUCAUCACUAGAUUACUUAUAAUACCUAAUGCAAUGUAAAUGCUAUGUAAGUAGUUGCUACGCUGUAUUGCUUAGGGAAUAAUGACAAGAAAAAAAGGCUGUACAACUUCAGUACAAAUGCUAUCAUUCAUUUUUUUAUCUGAAUAUUAUGAUCCAUGAAUACAGAGGGCUGGCUGUAAAAAGAAUGUACAGUUUGGUACUUUACUCCUAGUUUAAGUCAUCUCUUUCGGCCCAUACAGGUUGCCUGGGGCAGGGCGGUGGUGAGUGUGUUGAGUCGGCCCUAUACCCUGUUCCACAAUGCCUGGUGUCCUUGGCACGUAGCUUGCAGGGCUGCUUCCAUGGAUGGCUGCCUCAUCCCCCACCCCUCCUUCAUGGCACCCUCUUUUCUCCAACUCCUUUUCCUCUGCUGAGUCCUACCUUUUCUUGCCAGACCAGGGAUUUGCCAAUUAUUCUGGAUGGGCACAGGGAAGGGGCCCUCAGAUCCUGCAGAGGGAGCAUCUGAAAGACAAUGAGACCCUGUACACAACCAAGCUGAGCCUCCUCGUUGGUGCAUGCAUGGAUCCAGGAAGAGCAGGUAUUUGGACCCAACGAGACAGGUUCAUCUUGGCAGUUUGUCUCCUGUGGUUGCUUUGUGCCUGCCCCGUAUCUAUCCACCCAACUUCUGGCAGCAAUCCCUCCAGGACCCACCUCUGUCUUCAUGGUUUGUGUGUUCUGAUCCUGCUCCUUGGCCCCAGAAUACACCCUCCACAUCUAAGCUAUGCAGUGCCUCAUCCCCACAGCUGCAGCGAUUGGUUUAGGAAUGGGAAAAUAAUCCAAUCAAAGUAAGAUUGUCUAAUAUCUGAUCCCGCUUACCCCGGAGCCAGAAGUCCCACCUUUCCAGGCUCCUCCAUGUUCCUUUCUGGAGCAAUGAGGAGGAAGGUUCAUUCCCUUCUCAGGGAACUUGCUGCGGUGUCCCAGUCCUGACUGUCCCCUCUCUACCCCUGCCUGUGGCUCUCCCGUCUCCUGGCAUUCUAACCUGCCACUGAAUUCUUCCCACGCCAAACGCAGGUUAGGAACCUAAGCUCGGAUGAAAUGCUGGCUUAGACCUCAUUGCUACUGAGAAGCAGAAACCACACUUUUUAGUUGGUAGAGGUGGAUGUGGAUUGGGGCCAUAAAGUUUCCUCAAUCAUUGAAUAAGGAUUUCAUUAUUUGGACUAACUAAAUACAUUAGAUUAUUUAUACUAACUAAAUAAAUUAGAUUUAUUUUUCGAAGUUUAAAAUCAUUUUCAAUAGUGACGAAAAAGGCUGUAGAUGAGAUGGGAGAAUCUUUCGACGCCAAAUUCUUCCCAUCUCCUGCCUAGUAUGUAUCACUACACCUUGCCCAGAGAGACUGUAGGGGUGCUCAGCAAAAACCAUGGCUGGUUGAUUCCCUGGAAAAAGGGGUGCUGUCCCAGGGAGCUCUGUGCCCUUCCUGCCAACACUGGGGUCUAGAGGAGGCAAGUUCCCCUCUGAAGGUGAGUAUGAUUCACUCAUUAAAACUAAGAAAUUUACAUUGGUAUGUUACUGUUAACUAACCUACAGACUUUUUUUAGAUUUCACCGUUCUUUACACUCUCGUCCUUUCCAAUUUCCGGGAUCCAAUGCAGGAUACCAGGUUGCAUUUUUGGAUGUGUCCAGUCUGUGAUCAUUUCUCAAUCUUUCCUCAUUUUCUCAUGACUUUUGACAUUUAUUUAUUUAUUUAUUGUGUGAGACUGAGUCUCACUCUGUUGCCUAGGCUGGAGUGCAGUGGCCCCAUCCUGGCUCACUACAAUCUCCACCUCCCGGGUUCAAAUGAUUCUCCUGCCUCAGCCUCCCAAGCAGCUGGGAUUACAGGCGCACACCACCACGCCUGGCUAAUUUGUAUUUUUAGUAGAGAUGGGGUUUCACCAUGUUAGCCAGGCUGGUCUCAAACUCCUGACUUCAGGUGAUCUGCCUGCCUCGGCCUCCCAAAGUGCUAGGAUUACAGGCGCAGGCCACCACGCCCAGCCUGACUUCUGACAUUAGAGUACAGGGAGGGAUUCUGUAGAAUGUCCCUCAAUUUGGGUGUGUCUGGUGUUUUGCCAUGAGACUGGGGUUAUGCUUCUGGGUGCCACACAGAGGUGAAAUGUCCUUCUCAUCACAUUAUUCGAGAGGUACAUGGUACCAAUGGGACUUAUCGCUGCUGAUGUUAACCUUGAUCUCUUGGUUCAGGUGGUGCCUGCCAGCUGUCUCCACUGUGGAGUUACUAUUUUUCCUUUUCCCCAUUUUAUUCAUCAGAAGCCAGUCACUAAGCGAGGUCAAACUCCAGGACAGGGGAAUUAAGUGCCACCUUCUGGAGAGGGAGCAUUCACAUUUAUUACUUGGGAUCCUUCUGUAAGGAAGAGCUGUUUCUCCUCUAAAAAACUCUUUAAUCCUUUUAAGCCUCAAUUUCUUAAUUGUGAAAUGGGGCUAAUACCUGUAUCCAACCAAGGGAGUAGUUAGAAGGUAACAUGAUAGGUGGAAAGCACUUAACAUAGGCAAAAUGUUAUUAUCAGGAAUGAUCGAGAGACCCAUCCAACUAUCUGAAGGAGUCACUUAACUCUACUGUACUGCAGCGCUGUAAAGUCUGCAUCUUUCACUGGGGGUAAAGGCCCCCAGUCCCUGAGACGGGCCAGUUUGGAGACAGGCUGGUUUUUUCUCUGUUCUCCUGAGAGCCCUUCAGAUGAGAAGGGAGGUCUGGAGACAGAAUGCCAAAAGCCCAUUAAAGGCACGGCCUUGCAUUUCAGAGAGGGAGCAGGUCUAGAGAAGAACCAGAGGAGCUCAGCUGAGAUAUGGUGUAUGGAUUGGAUUUUGGUAGAAGAUGGGAAGAACCAAACACCUGAGAAACCACUUUGAAGAUCGGGGUCAGAGUAAGGCCUAACACAUAGUUGGCUCCCAGUAAUUAUUGGUUGAUUGAACAGCUCAAAGAGCAACUCGACCAAGAACACUGGACUGGGAGUCCAGUUACUUGGAUCUUGCAUUCCUGAUUUAUUUUUAUUUUAUAUGUAUUUUUUCUAUUUUUUUGAGACGAAGUCUCACUCACUCUGUCGCCCAGGCUGGACUACAAUGGCACGAUCUCGGCUCACUGCAAACUCUGCCUCCCAGGUUCAAGCGAUUCUCCUGCCUCAGCCUCUCGAGUAGCUAGGAUUACAGGCAUGCACCACCACGCUGGCUAAUUUUUGUAUUUUUAGUAGAGACGGGGUUUUGCCAUGUUGGCCAUGCUGGUGUCCACCUCCUGACCUCAGUUGAUCUUCCUGCCUCAGCCUUCCAAAAUGUUGGGAUUACAGGCGUGAGCCACCGUGCCUGGCCGUGAUUUAUUUUUUUUGUGUAUGUUUGUUUUUGUCAACUUGCUGUGUGACCUUAAGCAAGUUACUUAACUUCUCUGGGCUUCACUUUCCAUGGAUGAACAUUGUAAAGAGGCUGGAGAGAGAUGAGGACUAGGUACAGGCUUUAGAGGAGAGCCACCGCCCCGGACUUCUCCCUCUGUCACCCCGCUUUCCAUGACCCUCCUUGCCUGACUUUGUGACUCCUUGCCUCGCUAUCAAAACAAGUGCUGCAAUCUCAGUGCUUUCCAAGAGCCCUGCAUUGUUAGAAACUUCCCAGCACGCAGCAAAGGCUGCUGCAAUACUCGCUCUGCCUGCCUUUGCCCUGCGCUUCCUACUUACCCUCCUUUUGUUUCUCCCAAACAUCUGUCCCUGACUAUGCUCAUCUCAUGUUUGUCCUCAGCUGCUGAAAGGGCCACGUUUGUUUUCAUUACAAAUAAGACCACCGAGUGGGCUCCUGGCGUGGGGGCGGGACCAGCCGCGCGCAGUCUUCAGAGGCAGCCCCCCAGGCUGUCUCUGGAGGGUGUGUCUCUGCUUCCCUUUCCCCGUGUUUAUUUUCAGACGAAGCCAAGUGGCCCGGGGGGACCCUCCGGACUCCCAGCCUUCAGAGAGGAGGGCAGCUCGGGCUUUCGCCGCAGUGCUUCCUGCCCGUCACGUGUGUGCUCCUAGCCGGGGUCGGGGGAGCUGGUAUCUUGGCCCUUCUGGGAGGACGCGCACAGCCCGAGGAGGCAGAGCCCCAGACGGGAAUGGGCUUUUCAGAGGUGGGGUGCGGGCGAGGGGACGAUGCAUUAUUUUUAAUAUUUGAUUUAUUUUUCCAACUGGACUUCUUCCCGGGGCUCUUUCUGGGCCCAGCUGCCUUUGUGAUCCCGCGCCCCGGUCCUCGGCCUCUCACCUCCAGCGCCGGGGCGCCCCCUGCUGUCGGAAGCGGCUGUGACCGGGCAGAGGUGCUAUCUGGGACUCUGGGUUCUCAGCCCGGGGACAGCGAACCGAGGGGCAGAUGAUCCAUCAGAAAAGAGCCGGCACUGCCCAGCCCCGCGCCCCUGCCCCUGCCUUUUUCCGGGAGCGCGCCGCGCCGCACCCGCUACGGCCGCUUGACCCCAUCUUUGAGCCCGGCCCCAAGCUCUGGGACCGUCGUGCCCCUCAUCAAGGAAGAGCCAAGGACCCCAAGGAGAAG
rnacentral:lncRNA from 1 species